UGGCGGCAUGCCUACCAUGCAAGUCGAACGAUGCUUUCGGGCAUAGUGGCGCACGGGUGCGUAACGCGUGGGAAUCUGCCCCUUGGUUCGGAAUAACAGCUGGAAACGGUUGCUAAUACCGGAUGACGACGUAAGUCCAAAGAUUUAUCGCCAAGGGAUGAGCCCGCGUAAGAUUAGCUGGUUGGUGUGGUAAAGGCGCACCAAGGCGACGAUCUUUAGCUGGUCUGAGAGGAUGAUCAGCCACACUGGGACUGAGACACGGCCCAGACUCCUACGGGAGGCAGCAGUGGGGAAUAUUGGACAAUGGGCGCAAGCCUGAUCCAGCAAUGCCGCGUGAGUGAUGAAGGCCUUAGGGUUGUAAAGCUCUUUUAUCCGGGAUGAUAAUGACAGUACCGGGAGAAUAAGCUCCGGCUAACUCCGUGCCAGCAGCCGCGGUAAU
rnacentral:rRNA from 1 species